UCGUCCACCUGCUGCGGACAGAUGUAGUGCACAUGGGUAUCGACCCCACCUGCGGUCAGGAUGCGGCCUUCACCGGCGAUGAUUUCGGUGCCGGCACCGAUGACGAUGUCGACAUCGGGCUGGGUAUCCGGGUUGCCGGCCUUGCCGAUGGCGGCGAUGCGGCCAUGCUUCAAGCCCACAUCGGCCUUAACGAUACCCCACCAGUCGAGGAUGAUGACGUUGGUGAUCACCGUAUCCAUGACCGCAUCGUCACAACGCUGGCUCUGACCCAUGCCAUCACGA
rnacentral:sRNA from 1 species